CCCCUAGUAACUGCGAGUGAAGCGGGAAAAGCUCAAAUUUAAAAUCUGGCAGUCUUUGAUUGUCCGAGUUGUAGUCUAGAGAAGCAUUUUCCGCGUUGGACCGUGUACAAGUCUCUUGGAAUAGAGCGUCAUAGAGGGUGAGAAUCCCGUCCAUGACACGGACUACCAGUGCUUUGUGAUGUGCUCUCAAAGAGUCGAGUUGUUUGGGAAUGCAGCUCAAAAUGGGUGGUAAAUUCCAUCUAAAGCUAAAUAUUGGCGAGAGACCGAUAGCGAACAAGUACCGUGAGGGAAAGAUGAAAAGCACUUUGGAAAGAGAGUUAAACAGUACGUGAAAUUGCUGAAAGGGAAACGAUUGAAGUCAGUCGCGUUAUUCAGAACUCAGCCUUACCUCGGUAUGGUGCAUUUUCUGUUUAACGGGCCAGCAUCAGUUUUGACCGCUGGAAAAAGGUCAGAGAAAUGUGGCACCUUCGGGUGUGUUAUAGUCUCUGAUUGUAUACAGUGGUUGGGACUGAGGAACUCAGUACACCUUUAUGGUCGGGGUUCGCCCACGUUUGUACUUAGGAUGCUGGCGUAAUGGCUUUAAGCGACCCGUCUUGAAACACGGACCAAGGAGUCUAACAUGCCUGCAAGUGUUUGGGUGGUAAACCCGAGCGCGUAAUGAAAGUGAAAGUUGGGAUCUCUGUCGUGGAGAGCACCGACGCCCGGCCCUGAACUUCUGUGACGGACCUGCGGUAGAGCAUGUAUGUUGGGACCCGAAAGAUGGUGAACUAUGCCUGA
rnacentral:rRNA from 1 species